GCCGAAAAUAGCUCAAUUGGGAGAGCGUUAAGACUGAAAGAUCAAAGGUCCCUGUAGUUCAAUCGGGUUUCGGCA